AACGCGAAGAACCUUACCUGGGUUUGACAUGCACAGGACGCAUCCAGAGAUGGGUGUUCCCUUGUGGCCUGUGUGCAGGUGGUGCAUGGCUGUCGUCAGCUCGUGUCGUGAGAUGUUGGGUUAAGUCCCGCAACGAGCGCAACCCUUGUCUCAUGUUGCCAGCACGUUAUGGUGGGGACUCGUGAGAGACUGCCGGGGUCAACUCGGAGGAAGGUGGGGAUGACGUCAAGUCAUCAUGCCCCUUAUGUCCAGGGCUUCACACAUGCUACAAUGGCCGGUACAAAGGGCUGCGAUGCCGUGAGGCUUAGCGAAUCCUUUUAAAGCCGGUCUCAGUUCGGAUCGGGGUCUGCAACUCGACCCCGUGAAGUCGGAGUCGCUAGUAAUCGCAGAUCAGCAACGCUGCGGUGAAUACGUUCCCGGGCCUUGUA
rnacentral:rRNA from 1 species